rnacentral:rRNA from 1 species
GCCAUCGGCCAUACCAUGCUGAAUGCGCCGGUUCUCGUCCGAUCACCGAAGCUAAGCAGCAUCGGGCUCCGUCAGUACACGGAGUGCUGAUGGCA